UACGGGGGGGGCGAGCGUUGUUCGGAAUUACUGGGCGUAAAGCGUGCGCAGGCGGCUAUUUAAGCUUGCUGUGAAAGCCCCGGGCUUAACCUGGGAACUGCAGUGAGGACUGGAUGGCUGGAGUGUGGCAGAGGGGGGUGGAAUUCCACGUGUAGCAGUGAAAUGCGUAGAGAUGUGGAGGAACACCGAUGGCGAAGGCAGCCCCCUGGGCUAACACUGACGCUCAGGCACGAAAGCGUGGGGAGCAAACAGG
rnacentral:rRNA from 1 species